rnacentral:rRNA from 1 species
UACGUAGGUGGCAAGCGUUGUUCGGAAUUAUUGGGCGUAAAGAGCGUGUAGGCGGUCCGGUAAGUCAGCUGUGAAAGUCAAGGGCUCAACCCUUGAAAGCCGGUUGAUACUGUCGGGCUAGAGUCCGGAAGAGGCGAGUGGAAUUCCCGGUGUAGCGGUGAAAUGCGCAGAUAUCGGGAGGAACACCAAUGGCGAAGGCAGCUCGCUGGGACGUUACUGACGCUGAGACGCGAAAGCGUGGGGAGCAAACAGG